rnacentral:tRNA from 1 species
GCGCAGAUACCAAAGUGGCCAACUGGGGCUGACUGUAAAUCAGCUGGUUUUCACCUUCGGUGGUUCGAAUCCGCCUCUGCGCA